GACGAACGCUGGCGGCGUGCUUAACACAUGCAAGUCGAACGGAAAGGCCCUGCUUUUGUGGUCUUCUCGAGUGGCGAACGGGUGCGUAACACGUGAGUAACCUGCCCUUGACUUUGGGAUAACUUCAGGAAACUGGGGCUAAUACCGGAUAGGAUCUCCUGCUGCAUGGUGGGGGUUGGAAAUUUUCGGCGGGUGGGGCUGGACUCGCGGCUUAUCAGCUUGUUGGUGGGGUAGUGGCUUACCAAGCCUUUGCCGGGUAGCCGGCCUGGGAGGGUGAACGGGGACAUGGGGACUGAGAGACGGCGCAGACGGGUAUGGGAGGCAGUAGGGGGGAAUAUGGCACAAUGGGAGGAAGUGUGAUGAAGAAACGCUGGGUGCGGGAUGACGGUCUUUUGGUUGUAAAAAGCUUUAGCUUGUGACGAAGCGUGAGUGACGGUAAUGGGUAAAGAAGCACCGGCUAACUACGUG
rnacentral:rRNA from 1 species